AGAGUUUGAUCAUGGCUCAGAUUGAACGCUGGCGGCAUGCCUAAUACAUGCAAGUCGAACGCGAAAGUCACUUCGGUGACAAGUAGAGUGGCGGACGGGGGAGUAAUACAUAGGAAUCUGCCUGAUAGUGGGGGACAAUGAGGAAACUCAUGCUAAUACCGCAUACGUCCUACGGGAGAAAGUGGGGGAACUCUUCGGAGACCUCAUGCUAUCAGAUGAGCCUAUGUUAGAUUAGCUAGUUGGCGGGGUAAAAGCCCACCAAGGCGACGAUCUAUAGCUGGUUUGAGAGAACGAUCAGCCACACUGGGACUGAGACACGGCCCAGACUCCUACGGGAGGCAGCAGUGAGGAAUUUUGCGCAAUGGGGGAAACCCUGACGCAGCAACGCCGCGUGAGUGAAGAAGGCCCUUGGGUCGUAAAGCUCUGUCGACAGGGAAGAAAUUGUAGUCAUCCAAUAGGUGUCUGCAUUGACGGUACCUGUAGAGGAAGCACCGGCUAACUCCGUGCCAGCAGCCGCGGUAAUACGGGGGGUGCAAGCGUUAUUCGGAAUUAUUGGGCGUAAAGGGCGCGUAGGCGGUCUUGUCGGUCAGAUGUGAAAGCCCAGGGCUCAACCCUGGACGUGCAUUUGAAACAGCAAGACUUGAAUACUGGAGAGGAGAGCGGAAUUCCUGGUGUAGAGGUGAAAUUCGUAGAUAUCAGGAGGAACACCGAUGGCGAAGGCAGCUUCUGGACCGAUACUGACGCUGAGGCGCGAAGGCGUGGGUAGCGAACAGGAUUAGAUACCCUGGUAGUCCACGCAGUAAACGAUGGAUACUAGGUGUUUGGGGAGUUAACCCCCUGAGUACCAAAGCUAACGCAUUAAGUAUCCCGCCUGGGGAGUACGGUCGCAAGGCUAAAACUCAAAGGAAUUGACGGGGGCCCGCACAAGCGGUGGAGUAUGUGGUUUAAUUCGAAGCAACGCGCAGAACCUUACCUACCCUUAACAUCCCUUGACAACAUCAGAGAUGGUGCUUUCCCUUCGGGGACAAGGUGAUAGGUGCUGCAUGGCUGUCGUCAGCUCGUGUCGUAAGAUGUCUGGUUAAGUCCAAAAACGAGCGCAACCCCUAUCUUUAGUUGCCAUCAUUAAGUUGGGGACUCUAAAGAGACUGCCGGUGUUAAACCGGAGGAAGGCGGGGAUGAUGUCAAGUCCUCAUGGCCCUUACGGGUAGGGCUACACACGUACUACAAUGGCAGAAACAAACCGUUGCGAAGCCGCGAGGUCAAGCUAAUCGGAAAAACACUGUCUCAGUCCGGAUUGGAGUCUGCAACUCGACUCCAUGAAGUUGGAAUCGCUAGUAAUCGCUGAUCAGCAAGCAGCGGUGAAUACGUUCCCGGGCCUUGUACACACCGCCCGUCACACCACGAAAGUGAUCAUAACCAGAAGUGCGUGAGCUAACCUUUUGGAGGCAGCGUACCAAGGUUGUGGUCGUGAUUGGGGUGAAGUCGUAACAAGGUAGCCG
rnacentral:rRNA from 1 species